rnacentral:rRNA from 1 species
AUGCACCCGCAGCUCCGGCGUCCGCAUCGGCGACUCCACCCCCCUCCGGCCGCUUCGUCCUCGUCGAGCCCAAGCCGGAGCCCCCCGGAGUACGAGGAGAUAGCCCGACGCGGUUUCUCCGACGAGGAGGCCCUACAGUGGGCUCGGGACGACUACUACCGGGACGAGAUGGUCCGGCAGCGCCGGGCCCUGGAUGAGAUAGAAGCCCGCAAACGUGGGCGCGAGGACGAGCACGGCGUCGUGAUCUUCGAAGCGACGACGACGAGAACGCCCCCGGACCGUCCAACCCGCCGCGCCAACCAGGGGAGAGAUGCAGCAGGGACGGCGGUGGCGGAGGCGGCGGCGACGACGGCGGCGGCGACGACGGCGGCGGCAAUUACACGCGGUUCUACAGCCUCCUCAGCAUGUAGAACUGCAAGGGCGGGUGGCGAGGAGCGGCGAGGGAGAUGGCGAGGAACGGCGAUGGAGACGGCGAGGAGCAGCCCCUAG